CGUCACUGACGUUUUGAUCAAAACGUUAUCGACGUUUUGUUGUGCAUGAUCAACACGUGGCAGAUUUCUCUCUCUUCCCACACAUUGAUGAAAACGCCAACUCUCUUCUUCCUUCAUUCUUUCUUCCUCAGCCCAUAAUAUCCAUAGUCUUCAUUCUUUCUUCUUCAUUUUGUUUACCCCACAUCCCCACAACCAGAAAAAACGGCAGCCCCACAUUCCCGCAGCAAGGAAAACGGCAACAGUUAAAGAUAGAAAAAGCGUUAAAGACAAAAAUGGGAAAACGUGACAUCACACGUGCUGACGAGCAUAUAUCAGAAUAUCUUCAACAUCCUAUAUAUGGUUCACGAAAUUUGCACACUAGACACUUACACCAAAUAGACUCAUAUGAUGCUAGGGUGGAAGAACAACUCAGAGAGAGCGGAUUCUAUCAUAUAUCUCAGAUUGGAAGGAUCAUGUCUCACGGUCCAAC